GACGAACGCUGGCGGCGUGCCUAAUACAUGCAAGUAGAACGCUGAAGGAGGAGCUUGCUCUUCUGGAUGAGUUGCGAACGGGUGAGUAACGCGUAGGUAACCUGCCUGGUAGCGGGGGAUAACUAUUGGAAACGAUAGCUAAUACCGCAUAAGAGUAGAUGUUGCAUGACAUUUACUUAAAAGGUGCAAUUGCAUCACUACCAGAUGGACCUGCGUUGUAUUAGCUAGUUGGUGGGGUAACGGCUUACCAAGGCGACGAUACAUAGCCGACCUGAGAGGGGGAUCGGCCACACUGGGACUGAGACACGGCCCAGACUCCUACGGGAGGCAGCAGUAGGGAAUCUUCGGCAAUGGACGGAAGUCUGACCGAGCAACGCCGCGUGAGUGAAGAAGGGUUUCGGAUCGUAAAGCUCUGUUGUAAGAGAAGAACGAGUGUGAGAGUGGAAAGUUCACACUGUGACGGUAUCUUACCAGAAAGGGACGGCUAACUACGUG
rnacentral:rRNA from 1 species